GCGAACGCUGGCGGCGUGCUUAACACAUGCAAGUCGAACGUGAAACGGGGGCAACCCUGAGUAAAGUGGCGUACGGGUGAGUAACACGUAGGUAAUCUACCUUACAGUUUGGAAUAACCGGCCGAAAGGCUGGCUAAUACUGGAUAGAGCGACGGGAAACGUAAUGUUUCUCUCGGGAAAGGGAGCUCGAUAAGAGCCUUCGCUGUAAGAUGAGCCUGCGUCCCAUUAGCUAGUUGGUAGGGUAAUGGCCUACCAAGGCAGUGAUGGGUAGCUGGUCUGAGAGGAUGAUCAGCCACACUGGAACUGAAACACGGUCCAGACUCCUACGGGAGGCAGCAGUGGGGAAUCUUGCGCAAUGGACGAAAGUCUGACGCAGCCACGCCGCGUGAGUGAAGAAGGCCUUCGGGUUGUAAAGCUCUGUCGUGUGGGACGAAAAGCAUUAGAGUUAAUAGCUCUAGUGCCUGACGGUACCAUGAAAGGAAGCACCGGCUAACUCUGUG
rnacentral:rRNA from 1 species